UUGACGACUGCAAAGCAAUAAAAUAAUUAUUAAGAAAUAUAUAAAAAUAUAUACUUAACGCGAAUACCGAAUUGUGUACAUAAUUUAUAGAUCUAUGAAUAACAAGUCUAAACUUCAUAAACAUUAUAUAUUUCCGUUUUAUCAAUGUCAAGUGACCUAUCUGUCAGUCCAUAUUAGAUAUUCGAAAUUGAAAUGAAGAACUAAAAGAUAAUGAUGAUUUUUAUAUACUUGAUAUUAAUCAGGAUUAGAUAACUUUUAUAGCUAACAAAAGAUUUUCCAGACAACAAUAACAAUAUGUUUCUAAUAAGUGCAGAUGACGAAAAUCUAUAAUCAACAAGUUCCAAGCGAGCAAUGAUUUUGAGAAUAUUCAGUGCAACUCGGUAGAUCAAAAUUUGCAAUAUAAAUGAGAAAUCGGAACUCAGAAGCAAAUUCGAAUAUAUUGAGCGUUUGCUUACUGAAAAUUUGGAUUCACUGGAAGAAGCGCUGACAAAUAAGUUUGAUAUGAGGCCAUUUCAGACAAUCGUCGCCAAAUAUAAUUUCUUAGAAAACUAACUGCCGCCUCAACUGGUUUGCAGCCUCUAACAGAAGUCGGUAAUGGGGUGGAGACUUUGCCCUUAACUAAUGCGAGAAAGAUCAAACUCUAUAGUUUGCUAUCUUCAUUUGACAAUUGACAAUGUUUCAUUCAGCAAUCCCAAAUGGAGUUCAGUAACAGAUGCUGCCCGAACACAACUUUUGAUUAUGUAAAAUCUAAUUUAUACUAUAUGUAAAUAUACAACCUAAAUAAGUGUUCCACCUUAUGAACA